UAUUGAGUCACUGAAAAUCUGGUUGAACCACAUACUGGUAAAGCACUCAUGUUUAUAUGCAGGUCUGCUGCAAGCUGGGUGGUUGUCACCAUGGAGGCCUCGUUGCAUGGUGUUAUGAACAUGAGCUAUUGAGUUAAACCUCUGCUCUACUUUCUAAAUCUGUGUUCCAUGAUCUAUUAAACAGAAAUGAAAAGCAUCAGGUGUUUUAUGAAAAUUCAUAGAAUAUAGCAGGAUAAAAGAGAAAUUUUAACAAUUCAACGAAGAAAAUAGAGCAAAAGAGAUAAUGAAAGUGGAAAAGCUCCAGGUCACAGCCCCACCAUCAACUGGAGGGAAAGGAGAUAGUCUACUCUGUGCCAGCAAAGGUUUGCCUGGUAUGUUAAUAAGAGCCCAGAGUCUACAGUCAGACAAUUUGGCUUUCAAUCCCAACUCCGCUUCCUAGCAACAUGCCCUUAGACAGAUUACUUAACUCUCUAAAGCCUGUGUUUACUUACCUCUAUAAAAUAGUAAUGGGACAUAUGAAUAAGGGGGAAACCAGGUAUCACUUGGAGCCACUAAUUAACCCCCUGGUCCCCCUUUAACUUGUUAUCCCCAAAUAUACCCCAGAUAGUAUUAAAACUUGCAUGGCCUUGAAAUUAAAAACAACUUUUCUAA